ensembl:lncRNA
AGAGUGCUGGGAUUACAGAUGUGAGCCACGGAGCCCAACUGACGGGUCUUUUUAAAACCUAAUUCUUUUUUGCUGUUCAUGAACUCAACUGCAUUUUCUAGCACUCUUUGAUGUUAGAGAUGGCCAUGUGACUUUGUUCUAGUCAAUGGAGCGUGAACUGGAGUCUUGUAUCACCUACAGACUUGGCCCAUUACAUACCACUUACAUGUGAUUCUCCACGUUCAUUUUUCCUCCGAAGUCAAAAUGUAGAUGUUUUAUUUGUAUCAUACAGUUUUGUUGUUUUUAGUAUAUUGAUAAAAUGAUGCAGUCAUCACCACUAUCUAAUUCCAGCAUAUUUUUAUCACCUCAAAAAAACCUUGUACCCAUUAGCAGUCAUUCCCAUUCACCCUUUUCCUCAGCCCUUGGCAAACCACUGAUCUACUUUCUAUCUCUAUUGAUUUACCUAUUCUUGAUAUUUCAUACAAAUAUAAUAACAUACGAUCUGGCUCUUUCUGGCUGACUUCUUUCACGUAGAAUUAUGUUUUCAAGAUUCAACCAUGUUGUAGAAUGAAUCAAUACUUCAUUCCUUCUAAUGGCUGAAUAGAUAAACUACAUUUGUUUUUCCAUUUUCCACUUAAUAGAUUUUUGGGUUGUUUUCACUAUGGGCUAUUAUGAUUAAUAUUGCUAUGAAAACUUGUGUACAAGUUUUUGUGUGGAUGUGUGUUUUCAAUACUCUUGAAUCUGUACCUUGGAAUUGAAUUGCUGUAUCAUAUGGUGGUAAUUCUAUGUUUAAUCUUUUUUUUUUUUUUUUUUUUUUUUAUUUUCAGAGAGAGUCUCACUCUAUUGCCAGGAUACAGUCCAGUGUUGCAAUCAUGGCCCUCUGCAGCCUCCAACUCCUGGGCUCAAGCUGUUGUCCUAUCUCAGCCUCUCAAGUAGCUGGGACUGCCGAGACUAUCAGAAUGCACUCCAUGGGCCUGACCAAUUCCUUUCACUUAUCAUGUGAGUAUUCCACUCAGUGAAACUGAAACCCCUCAAAUCGUACCCAUCUAUUGCUCAUAAAGCCUGCACCUUCUGGGGACUUAGCUAAUUCCUCUACUUCUGCAUAAGAUGUUCUCUGCUGCUUUUGGUUCUUGGUGACUUGUUCCUUAACUUGUCUUGCCAAUGUCUCCCUUUCUGUGACAGGUUUCCUCUCUUUCUUCAACAUGUCAAACACUCAGUAACUAUUAGCUGGAUACCAUCCCAUGCUCAGGCUUGUUAGGUAAGCUAACGGAUAUUUGACUUGGAAAGAGCAUUGGGGUUGAAAGUCAGGAAACAUGGACUUGUAGGCACUAUUUUAUUAUUUUUGUAUCCUUCCAGAGCCAACCUUCCUGAGCUGUGAAAUUGAGGAGUGGGAGUGAUUUAGAAAGAGAAUUUCCAAGACCCACUUCAGACUUAUAACAACCAUUAGCAUACUUUGCAGUUUAAGAUAGUACAUGUGUCACAAUUAUUUUUACAUUGUUUUGGUAUGGUACUUUAUCAAAAUUAUAUCUAUAGUAGCAGAUGAGGAUAACUAUUUGUUUCAACAAAUUUCUAGAGAGAUCACUGCACACAACACUACUGAAUGAUCACAGUUUUAUAUAAUGAGAUAAAAAAGUUCAACUUUUCCUUUUCAUUUUUUUCUACUUUUGUGCAGAGAAAGUAUAGAGGACACAUUUGCCUUGUUACUUUCAAGUAACAUUGGCAAUUGUUGUAGAAACUGGCUUUCUUUGUAGAAAAACAGAUUUAAUAAAGAUCAAAACUACUUUAGAAAAUUUCCUUUAUCAACACUUUCAUAAAAAAAAAAAUAGUAAGUUAGUCAAAUUUUCCAGUCUCCUAACACAACUAAAUGUUCCCUGUGGAUUCCAUUCCACUUUGGUUUAAAAGGAUAUUAAAGAGGUAAGCGUAUUUCCUGCAACCUUACAAAGCCAUUUAGUAAUAAACAAUUUAUGCUGAAGUGGGAAACUCACAUAAAAGAAUCAAUUUUUGAUAUGAAAAAGAGUAACUUUGUAACAUGCAGAAAGAAUAUGACUUUCAAAUUCUUGAAAUUAUAGUACAAAAGAAAUCCCAAAGGGCCAAACAUUAUAUUCCUGACAGAUAACUGCAGCAAUAACAUCCGAAUGAUAAAAUAAAUGCUAUUUUUGGUGACAAUGCAUUUUCUUUUCCAACUAAUCUGUAUUCCCCUGUCACACAUAUGUAAAACUGAAUGAUUUCUGAAUGUGUAAUUUAAUCAUUCCUUGCUUGGCAUAUCAUCCUGCCAGAAAACUUAGAAAUAGCACUAUCUGGCCAGAUGCGGUGGCUCACGCCUAUAAUCCCAGCACUUUGGGAGGCCGAGGCGGGCGGAUCACAAGGUUAGGAGAUCGAGACCAUCCUGGCUAACACGGUGAAACCCUAUCUCUACUAAAAACUUCAAAAAAUUAGCCAGGCGCGGUGGUGGGCGCCUGUGGUCCCAGCGACUUGGGAGGCUGAGGCAGGAGAAUGCCGUGAACCCAGGAGGCAGAGCUAGCAGUGAGCUGAGAUCCCGCCACUACACUCCAGCUGGGCAACAGAGUGAGACUGUCUCAAAAAAAAAAAAAAAAAAAAGAAAGAAAGAAAUAUCACUAUCUUUGUUGUGAAGUAUAUGAAAAAUGGCAGUAUAAAAUCCUUUGUGAUCCUAAACAAAUAUUAUUUCCAUAUGUCUGUAUGUACAUGUGUAUUGCCAAAUGCAUCAUAGUAAUUUAUUUUCAAAUGUUAGGAGCAAGGUAGAGACUUUAUCAUCACUCUUAGUCAAAGACAAAUAUAAAAGAACAUAGUUACAAUUCAUACCACUAUUUAAAAAAAAAAUCUUUUUUUUUUUUUUUUUGAGACAAAGUCUCACUGUGUCACCUAGGCAAGAGUGCAGUGGCGUAGUCUUGGCUCACUGCAACCUCUGCUUCUGGGUUCAAGCAAUUCUCCUGCCUCAGCCUCCCAAGUAGCUGGGACUACAGGUGCCUGCCAACACACCCAGCUAAUUUUUGUAUUUUUAGUAGAGACAGGGUUUCACCACGUUGGCCAAGGUGGUCUCAAACUCCUGAUCUCGUGAUCUGCCCACCUCAGGCUCCCAAAGUGCUGGGAUUACAGGCAUUAGCCACUGCGCCCAGCCAAAAAAACUUUUGUAAAAUAUAUUUUGGAUGCAUUAUUCAGACUUCAACAAUUAGAGCCUCAUGCCAUUAAUUCAGACAAUGUGGAUGAACUGAAUGGAAUAGCUAAUGUAAAUUUAUAGCAAAAGUGAAUAAAAUAAUAUGCUUCAUAAUGUUUACUUGCAUCCAAAGACUCCAAAUGGUUUACACUGAAGAAACAGGUAAGUUCGUGGAAACACCAGUCAACACUUAAUUCAUAUAAAUGAAUGCUUGGAAAGUGUUAGAGGUGAAAGAUUUUAGAAAUUUGCUUUACUUUAGAAUAGUACUCUAUUCUUAUCAAAUCAUGUUCACUUUUUUUUUUCUCUGAAUUGUCCAUGUAGCCUUUAUAGAUGUGCACUGCUGCUCAUUUGGAGGUUUCUAUAAAGACAAUGAGGAUAAAGAAGAAUAUACUCACUCUGGCUAAAUAAACUCUUUUCAUGAUGUAUCAGUUUGUCCUUGUCUUCUAGAAAAUGACAGGACAUUAAUAUUAGUAUGUCAUAAAUUAGUAUUUUAGCAUCUUUUUUUUUUUUAGCAAAAAGAUUCUAAAGGUCUUUUUAAAACUUUUUGAAUUAAGAAAAUAUUACCAUAUAAUCUUGUCAAUACUAUUAGUGUUUUUUUUUAUAAACCUGCUUUUACAUAGACAGGAAAACAAUGAACUAAGUUCUAAAUGUAUCAUCUACAAUACAAAAGGAAUUGUAACUUAUGGCUGGUAUAAUAUUUUGCUGUUACUUCCUCUAAUUUUGACUCCAAAAUAGAGUCACAAGUUCUUUAUAAAAAACAUCUUUGUACUCUAGGUUCCAAUUCUAACAUGUAAAGAGUUUUGAAAUCAUCAGCCUUAUCCUUACAAAAGGAAUAAAGCUAAAGACACUGAAAAUCAACAACUUUUCUGGGACCCAUCAGACAACUGCAGUCACAUGACAAACUACCAUUUUGAAAUAUGGAGACAGAGGAAUACAGAGUACAACUGACAUCAGCUUACCUGGAGCAGGAACCACGGAACUAAAAACUGGAUGGGUCACCUGAAUGGUAAUUCAGUUAAAUUGCCGUAAGUUGAGUGUGACAUAGCUCAAGAAUAAAAAACUUGGAGCCACAGUCUUAGCAGGGUUUCAGCAUAUUCAGAGGUUUUUACCUCCAAGAACGCCAACAAGUUCUCAUCAUGAAGAAGUGAGAAAAAUCAUCUCUAGUCUUUGGCAAGAGGAGGAGAAAAGUAACCACUUUGAAAUACGACCAUUUUUUUCUUGUAACAAAGUCCUAUACUCCACUGAAAAAGAUCUUAUCAGAGCCUUAUCUUAUGUAGACAGAAGGGCAAUUACCCAAUUCCAGCCACCCACAGCCUUUCUGUCUUACCUAAGUGAGGAGGGAAAAAAAAGGUAAAAGCAACUGUGAAAGUCACAGCCCUCAUGGAAAGAUCUGCUAAAAAACUGAGAUUUAAUCACAAGAUUACAGAAUUCUCUUUUUUCCCACUCCUUGCUGCCAAAUCAAUGGGGAUCUAAUAUAAUAACAGUAGAUUUGUAGCCAAAAGACCUGCAAACUUUAGACUCUAUUUAAGAGGGAGUUCUUAGGGAAACCUAAAGACAACACCAGAGACAAAAAACAAGGACACGAAAAUAAUUGAAAAACUCUGACACCUACAGCUACAGAAAACACUGGACAUAGCCCAAAUCCUAGCCAGGUUAAUAUACAACCUCACACUAAAGGCCUACCGUGUCUCAUUCUCUUUUCCAAAUAUAUGUAUAUAGCUUUCAAUAACAACAAAAAAUUCAAGGCAUGCUAAAAAGCAGGAAAAACACAGAAAAUACAAAGCAAGCAUUAAACCAGACUCAGAUAUGACAGAAAUGUUGGACUUAGAGAUGGAAGGUAAAAUAACUAUGAUUCAUAUUUUAAGGAUCCUAAUGGAAAAAAUGUAGACAUUAUGUAAAAACAGAGAUAAUGUAAGCAGAAAUUUGACAUUGAUAAAUAGACCUAAGAGCCAAAUUAGGAUUAAAUAUUAGGGUCCACCUGUUGCUAAAGCCCUAGAUUGACCCUGGCUCAUGUACAGAUCUCCUUUAACUCCACUCAAUCCUGUACUUUGGGGUGCACGUGUAGGGAGAAUUGGGUCUAUAGAAUUGUAUAGGAUAUAGUUAAUUUGCAGUUGGACUAGAACAGCCCUGUGCUUAUCUCCGGGGAACAUGGAAAUCUAGUGCUGAUUCUUGGCCAAAAUCAGGGCAGUGGAAUAAAUAAUCAUUUAUAGAGUGUAAUUUAAACUUUGAAACUCCUAAGGUGGCACUCAGGCCCAGCUUAAUUAUUGAUAGUUUUCACCAGCAUAACUAGCUAGACAGCCUUUCUUGUCUAUAUAAGCAAAUUGUUAGGGAGCUCCCCCUAAACCAA